ACGCUCUUGGGGUGUUUCCGUCUGGCGUGUGCUUUCGCGUGACUUCACGUCCAGGUUGGCAUUGAGGAAGGCGCCAGAUUUGAAGAUUUGUCUGUAAAAAAAAAUAUUCUUAUCAAAUGGAACACGUACGACAAAAAGGUGUGUUUGACCAUCUGCUGAUGUUGGAGAGGACAGAAGCAGCAGGACCGAAAGGGCAUCAGAAGGCACGUCUGGAGGAACUUCAGACGACAGCAGCAAAAAUUCGUGCAAAGAGAGACAGAAUCCGGGCAGAAACAUCCACUAUCAAGAAUCUAAAAGAGAAAAUGGACCAGGGGCUGCCACUGGAUGAUGCAACUGAAGACCUUGUUCAAUUUGAAAAAUAUCUCCUGACAUCCCAGCGUACACAGCUUAAGGACCUUCAAACUGCCCAUCGACUCAUUGCUGGAUUCAACCUGGUGGAGAGCAAAAAAGGCAAAAGUGUGUGUGUGGCAUUUCACACUGCCUUCGAGGGUGUUUGCUUGGAAACUUAUAACAUGGAGGUGAACCUUACCCGCAUGGUGCACAUCAGCCGUCAUAACAUCCCUUCAUACAUCCCACUGGAGAAACUUGCCAAGCAAAGUCUACAGACUGAUUUUAAAGGCUUCCUCCAAACUCUGAACCUACACCUCAAUGCCCUAGCUGGCCGCAAACAGCAGAUUUCUCUUAUUAAGGAACUCCUUGGGACAGUAGAAGUUAUUGAGAAAAAUCAAUUGUGCAACUUCCUUGCAUUCGUAUGCAAAGUCCCAUCAGAGAGUGAAGAAGCUGUUCUGUGCACACUCGAGUACGGUGACCUCACCCGAUGUCUCCCAACUCAAGUUGUAAUUGAUGCUGAAAAUAAAACACUUAUAGAAUCUCCACAGUGGAAGGAAAACCAUGUCCUGCUCAAGGAGACUCCAGUUCACAGUGCUCUUUUGACAAUGAGAAAACUAGGAAGCAUUUUGUGAACAGUUUUUUUUUUUUUUUUUAAGAUUUACAUUUUCCAAACCAGUCUUUAAAGACAGGUGUGCCAUUAUUCAGCUUUUUGGUGAGGCAAAUAAUAAAGGUAGCCUAAUUUGUAGCAUGACAUUACAAGUGAAGACUGGGCUCAAGAGAAAUCUGCAGUAUUAAAGUCUUUCUCUGUACAAUCUUUUCAGGUUCUCCUUUUUUUGCCUCCUCUGUUCUUCUUGGAUUGCCAGCUCUUUUUGUGAAAUGCUGUCGAUUAAGGCCAAGUCUUUAAGAUACACGAUGGAUAGCGGUUCUGAUUCAGAAAGCUGUGGCGUGGCUGACGAGGCUGAUUUCAAAAGUCUUGUUCCUUGCUGCUGUUCAUUUGAAAGUGAACUUGAAAACAUCCGUCUGCCUGCUGGAGCUGAUUUUGGAUACUGAAAAUCAUUUUUUGUUGUUUUCAUUGCUGAUAUGGUUCUCAUUGUGUUGGUCAGAGUUGCAUAAGGUUCACAAACUCUUAAGUGGAGUAACUUUUGUGUUCCAUCAGUAAAAUUGUUUGUCUUGGUGAA